AGAUUGAACGCUGGCGGCAUGCCUUACACAUGCAAGUCGAACGGCAGCACGGGAGCAAUCCUGGUGGCGAGUGGCGAACGGGUGAGUAAUACAUCGGAACGUGCCCAAUCGUGGGGGAUAACGCAGCGAAAGCUGUGCUAAUACCGCAUAAGAUCUACGG
rnacentral:rRNA from 1 species